rnacentral:rRNA from 1 species
GACGAACGCUGGCGGCGUGCCUAAUACGUGCAAGUAGAACGCUGAAGGAGGAGCUUGCUCUUCUGGAUGAGUUGCGAACGGGUGAGUAACGCGUAGGUAACCUGCCUGGUAGCGGGGGAUAACUAUUGGAAACGAUAGCUAAUACCGCAUAAGAGUAGAUGUUGCAUGACAUUUGCUUAAAAGGUGCAAUUGCAUCACUACCAGAUGGACCUGCGUUGUAUUAGCUAGUUGGUGGGGUAACGGCUCACCAAGGCGACGAUACAUAGCCGACCUGAGAGGGUGAUCGGCCACACUGGGACUGAGACACGGCCCAGACUCCUACGGGAGGCAGCAGUAGGGAAUCUUCGGCAAUGGACGGAAGUCUGACCGAGCAACGCCGCGUGAGUGAAGAAGGUUUUCGGAUCGUAAAGCUCUGUUGUAAGAGAAGAACGAGUGUGAGAGUGGAAAGUUCACACUGUGACGGUAUCUUACCAGAAAGGGACGGCUAACUACGUG